UAAAACAAUUUUCCACGAAAAUUAAUUUUCAAUUUUUGGUUUGAUUUUUAGUUUUCAUCUGCAACGGAAAAAGUUCAGACCAAACCCUAAACUAGAGCAUGUUCGAAUGCAUAAAUUAUGAUUUCUGCGUAUCAUAAAUCAUGGCAAAUUGCAAAUGGCGAAUAUAGCUCAUUCCAUUUACUUAGAUGAAAAAAUCCUAUUUGCCAUUAGUUUCUAUAAUGAAGACGCACAUUUUAUAUAUUUUGGAUUUUUGGAGUUUAGAUACCUCUUCCGCUUCCUCCCAAAAUUUGUAAGAAAUACUAGAGACUUGCCCUUUGCUAAACAGAAAAGUAUUUCAAACAAUGAAGUUCCCGCAGUGAAGGUCAAGUGCAGCUGCUGUGUCAACUGCGCAGUAAGCAGAGCCCAGGCUUAUGUGUGGGUAUGCGUGCCUAUGUGUGUGUGUGUGUGCUUGUGCAUGUAUA